rnacentral:rRNA from 1 species
UCAGCAAGGCCGCGGUAAUACAUAGGGUGCAAGCGUUGUCCGGAAUUAUUGGGCGUAAAGAGCUCGUAGGUCGUUUGUCGCGUCGAUUGUGAAAAUCUGAGGCUCAACCUCAGACCUGCAGUCGAUACGGGCAAACUAGAGUGUGGUAGGGGAGACUGGAAUUCCUGGUGUAGCGGUGGAAUGCGCAGAUAUCAGGAGGAACACCAAUGGCGAAGGCAGGUCUCUGGGCCAUAACUGACACUGAGGAGCGAAAGUGCGGGGAGCGAACAGGAUUAGAUACCCUGGUAGUCCGCACCGUAAACGGUGGGCACUAGUUGUGAACCUUCCACGGUUUCCGCGACGCAGCAAACGCAUUAAGUGCCCCGCCUGGGGAGUACGAUCGCAAGAUUAAAACUCAAAGGA